CCAAACCUUUUUUAUGUCAUUUUGAAAAUUUUUCUUUAAAUUUUUGAAUUUUUAAAUUUAAAAUUUAAAAUUUAAAAUAUCAAAAUUUAAAAUUUUAAGUUUUAAUUUUAAAUUUUAAAUUUAUAUUUUAAAAUCUAAAUUUUAAAUUUAGAUUUAAGUUUAAAUUUUAAAAUUUAAAUUUAAAUUUUUAAUUUUUACAUUUCAUAGUUUUAUUUUAAAUUUCACAUUUUGCCAAAUAUGAUCAUAAGGGCAAUUAUGGAAUAAAUUACAUUUUACUGUCAGAGUUACUGAAUUUUACCAAAUGAAUCAAACAUAAUAAUUCUAUAUAUACUGUAAUCCGGCAUUAUAUUACGGCGUUAAAUUAAACGCGAUAAUCCAGUAUCAAUAGUAAUUUGAUUCAAAAAUCUCAUCUAGCUGAUUAGUUAAAAUAAUAUGUAAUACUACAUAAUGCGAACCAGACACGUUCUAAAAGAGUAUAAUAACCCUACUCAUAAACAAAAGCUCUAAUUUUUUGGGGUCAAGUAAUAUUCUUGUUU
rnacentral:lncRNA from 1 species